rnacentral:pre_miRNA from 1 species
CUAGUACUCCCUCCGUCUGAAAUUACUUGUCAUCAAAAUGGAUGUAUCUAGAACUAAAGUACAUCUAGAUACAUCCAUUUCAAUGACAAGUAUUUCCGGAUGGAGGGAGUAGUAG